UUGAAAAAGCAAAAUAAUAAAUCACAUUCAUUCAUUCCGAAUUGUACACUCAAUUCUCUUAUCUACCUGAUUGUAAAGUCAUCGAGAGUAUGUCGGUUAAAUCAUCGGUCAAUCAUCGUGAUUGAAACCACCAGUCAAUAAACAUGAAAUUACUACUAGCUGUGUUAGCGGUCGUUCAGUUUGUAUACAUGGGCUGGACCAUUGCCAAAGGAAUUAUGUAGCGAAUACAGUUGAGAACUCUUUUAGCCGAUGAAAUUGCAACGGAACGAAUUCAUUUUUAUUAUGCAGUCCUUUCCAUAGUUUUUAUGUUUCGCCAUUUUUUCUUUCGCUUUAUUUUUCCAAGUCAUUCUAAAUAUCUCAUAAAAUCACAGUGGAACUAAUCAAAUCCGGAGGAAAACAUUGAAUCUCUAAACCAAUUCGAAGG